GAUGAACGCUAGCUACAGGCUUAACACAUGCAAGUCGAGGGGAAACGACAUCGAAAGCUUGCUUUUGAUGGGCGUCGACCGGCGCACGGGUGAGUAACGCGUAUCCAACCUGCCCACCACUUGGGGGAUAACCUUGCGAAAGUAAGACUAAUACCCAAUGACGUCUCUAGAAGACAUCUGAAAGAGAUUAAAGAUUUAUCGGUGAUGGAUGGGGAUGCGUCUGAUUAGCUUGUUGGCGGGGUAAACGGCCCACCAAGGCAACGAUCAGUAGGGGGUUCUGAGAGGAAGGUCCCCCCACAUUGGAACUGAGCACGGUCCAAACUCCUACGGGAGGCAGCAGUGAGGAAUAUUGGUCAAUGGGCGAGAGCCUG
rnacentral:rRNA from 1 species